rnacentral:rRNA from 1 species
UACGGAGGGGGCUAGCGUUGUUCGGAAUUACUGGGCGUAAAGCGCACGUAGGCGGCUUUGUAAGUUAGAGGUGAAAGCCCGGGGCUCAACUCCGGAACUGCCUUUAAGACUGCAUCGCUUGAAUCAUGGAGAGGUCAGUGGAAUUCCGAGUGUAGAGGUGAAAUUCGUAGAUAUUCGGAAGAACACCAGUGGCGAAGGCGACUCACUGGUCCGGUACUGACGCUGAGGUGCGAAAGCGUGGGGAGCAAACAGG